rnacentral:rRNA from 1 species
UACGUAGGGGGCAAGCGUUGUCCGGAUUCAUUGGGCGUAAAGAGCGUGUAGGCGGUUUGGUAGGUCCGCUGUGAAAACUCGAGGCUCAACCUCGAGACGCCGGUGGAAACCAUCAGACUAGAGUCCGGAAGAGGAGAGUGGAAUUCCUGGUGUAGCGGUGAAAUGCGCAGAUAUCAGGAAGAACACCCGUGGCUAAGGCGGCUCUCUAGUACGGUACUGACGCUGAGACGCGAAAGCGUGGGGAGCAAACAGG